CCUACGGGCGGCUGAACCAGCCAAGUCGCGUGAGGGAAGACGGCCCUACGGGUUGUAAACCUCAUUUGUCAGGGAGCAAGGUGCAGGUCGGGACCUGCUGUGAGAGUACCUGAAGAAAAAGCAUCGGCCAAGUCCGUGCCAGCAGCAGCGGUAAUACGCAGGAUGCGAGCGUUAUUCGGAUUUAUUGGGUUUAAAGGGUGCGCAGGCGGAGGGACAAGUCAGCGGUAAAAGCGCGGGGCUCAACCCCGCUCCGCCGUUGAAACUGUGUCCCUUGAGUGCGCGAAGGGUAGGCGGAAUGCGUGGUGUAGCGGUGAAAUGCAUAGAUAUCACGCAGAACUCCGAUCGCGAAGGCAGCCUACCGGCGCGCAACUGACGCUCAUGCACGAAAGCGUGGGUAUCGAACAGGAUUAGAUACCCGGGUAGUC
rnacentral:rRNA from 1 species